UUUCAGUGGACAUUAGGGGUGAGUUUAGCCAACAAUGAGUGGCAUGAGGCGACGACAGUUAAGUUUAAGCACCAAAACGACUAGAUAAGUUUAG